GCUAUCUGCUGACGAGCGGCGGACGGGUGAGUAACGCGUAGGAAUCUGCCCGGUAGCGGGGGAUAGCCCAGAGAAAUUUGGAUUAAUACCGCAUACGCCCUACGGGGGAAAGGAGGGGACUCUUCGGAGCCUUCCACUAUCGGAUGAGCCUGCGUGAGAUUAGCUAGUUGGCGGGGUAAAGGCCCACCAAGGCGACGAUCUCUAGCUGGUCUGAGAGGAUGAUCAGCCACACCGGAACUGAGACACGGUCCGGACUCCUACGGGAGGCAGCAGUGGGGAAUAUUGCACAAUGGGCGAAAGCCUGAUGCAGCCAUGCCGCGUGUGUGAAGAAGGCCUUAGGGUUGUAAAGCACUUUCAGCGAGGAGGAAAGCUUGUGAGUUAAUACCUCUCAAGUGUGACGUUACUCGCAGAAGAAGCACCGGCUAACUCCGUGCCAGCAGCCGCGGUAAUACGGAGGGUGCAAGCGUUAAUCGGAAUUACUGGGCGUAAAGCGCGCGUAGGCGGCUUGUUAAGCCAGAUGUGAAAGCCCCGGGCUUAACCUGGGAACUGCAUUUGGAACUGGC
rnacentral:rRNA from 1 species